rnacentral:rRNA from 1 species
UGGGGAAUUUUGGACAAUGGGCGCAAGCCUGAUCCAGCCAUGCCGCGUGCAGGAUGAAGGCCUUCGGGUUGUAAACUGCUUUUGUACGGAACGAAAAGGUGCCUUCUAAUAAAGGGCGCUCAUGACGGUACCGUAAGAAUAAGCACCGGCUAACUACGUGCCAGCAGCCGCGGUAAUACGUAGGGUGCGAGCGUUAAUCGGAAUUACUGGGCGUAAAGCGUGCGCAGGCGGUUUUGUAAGACAGAGGUGAAAUCCCCGGGCUCAACCUGUGAACUGCCUUUGUGACUGCAAGGCUGGAGUGCGGCAGAGGGGGAUGGAAUUCCGCGUGUAGCAGUGAAAUGCGUAGAUAUGCGGAGGAACACCGAUGGCGAAGGCAAUCCCCUGGGCCUGCACUGACGCUCAUGCACGAAAGCGUGGGGAGCAAACA